AGCUGAGCUUGUCUUUUAGCUGGCUAGCCCGUACAUAGUUAGUUAACGUUAGGUAGUUAGCGGUUGAGCUAACUAGAGAAUCUUCUUGAAUCGUUUUGUUAACGAGCAACGUUUGAUGUCUUGUGAGAGCUUUCAUGUCAAAUAAUCUAAAUAGUUUGUUUUUGUUUACAUUCAGGCCAGCAGAUGAAACGUUAGUCUGUGCCUUCUCCCUACAGUUUUCAGCCAUUAACGUUAGUUUCGCCCACGACUGGCUCAUGUGAACUACAAUCCCGACGCUGUUUUAACGUUUAGAAACGUCAAUAAUCAUAGUUUGCAAUAUGGCAUUUGAAACAUAUGUCCCUUUGAUCAGCGAGAAAGACUCCUUCAAAUUAAAAAAAAAGACACACUUACUGUAGCAGUUAUACACAGAUCAAUGUCUGGCUGGCCCAAUCCCAUUUUCCAGCUGCUCCCCAGAGCACAUUUGCUCAUCACCCCAGGGCUGACAUUCUAGAGCAGACCGAUAAGGUUUGUGGAUACCAGGAGACCCUGAGAUGGUUCAUACCGCCUCCUCAGGCCCCGGGUCCAAGGCAGACGGAUUGUUGCCACCCACCUGCACCAGAACGACGGUGGGGACCCUCUCCUGCCCCAUCAUGGGGAGGGGCACAUCGUGAGGUGAAGCAACAGCCAGUUUUUCCCACGUGGGUCUUCCCUGAUUUUUGCAGAGGUACUGAGUAAUUUAUCCCUCACCGGGUUCCUAUUCCUCCAAGCGGGUCACGACAUAAGCUCUCCCAGGGCUCUGUGGCCUUGUUGGCUUGGCUGAGCUUAUGGCUUGUCUUUGUGACAGAUGUGAUGGUGUCCACCGUCACCGCCAUUGGGACGUUCCUGGGGGACCCAUGCGCUCGGGGUGCCAGAGGAGAGGCUGGCCCCAGCAGGUCAUCUGACACACCCUUCCUCUGCUUCUUCUCCCGGUCUCCUUCUUUGGGCUCUGGGACGUCUAGCGUCUCUAUGCGCAGCGCACGUACCUGGCAUCCUAAAUGUGGCAGCAGAUAUGCUCUUGAAGGAGGGCCCACCACCUUGAGACUGGAGCCAACAUCCCCAGGUGGUGCAGCACCUGUGGGACAAAUUCGGGAGGGCGCAAGUGGACCUGUUUGCCUCCUUGGACAAUGCACACUGCCACCUGUGGUACUCCAUGCCGGAGCCACCAGGUCCUGCUUGGAUGCUCUGGCUCACGAUUGGCCAGGGCUGGAGCUUACGCAUUCCCCCCUUUUCCCCUGAUCCAGGCUGUGCUGGACAGGAUCAGGAUGGCAGAGCAUUGUCUGCUGCUGGUGGCCCCAUACUGGCCCAGACAACCCUGGUUCAGCCUUCUCCUGUCCCUGUUGUCUGGGACACCUUGGCAACUUCCUUGAAACCGGACCUGCUGUCUCAGGUCAGGGGAACUCUGUGGCAUCCAAGGCCGCACCGCCUCAGUCUGUGGGCUUGGCCACUGGUCCAUGUUAGGACUACAGGAGGGUGUAAUGAACACCAUGCAGAGCGCAAGGGCGCUGGCUACAUCUGCUGCAUACCAGUUGCUCUGGCGGUUGUUCUGCUCUUAGUGUACUGGUAUUGAGGUUGUGCCCGAGUAAUGCUGGGUGCAGUAAUGUCCUCCAAUAUCUGUAGUCUCGCUUCGAUGAGGGUUUGGCAGCCUCUACCCUGAGAGGGUAUUUGGUCGCUAUAUCUGCCUGCCAUGUGGAGUGGAUGGAGAAGCCAUAGGGGCGCCAUCCCUUGGUCUCCGGGUUUAUGAAAGGGGUUCGUCCCGUGCGUCCAGCUAGGACCUGCUCAAUGGUGAGCUGGGAUCUGGAUGUGGUAUUGGCAGGUUUGACAAAGCCGCCUUUCGAACAGUUGGAGUCAGCCUCCCUGAAACACCUCUCUAUGAAGGUGGUUUUCUUGGUAGCGAUUACUUCCAUGAAGAGGGUGGGUGAGCUCCAUGCUCUUUCAGUAAGUGUUGAGUGCUACCGGAUGGACCCUGGGGGGAAGAGUAUAUCUCUCCGCCCCAACCCUCCAUUCCUCCCAAAGGUUCUGUCAGACAGACAUGUGAACAUCUCUUUUUAUCCUGUCUGCUUACGACCCCCGCCUCCCCGGCAGUGGCGGGGGGCUGGGCCUCCCUCCGGCAUGCUGUGCCUUGUGAGGGCACUGGCUGCCUAUGGGGAGCGGACACGGUCAGUGAGAACAACAGACCAGCUCUUUGUCUCACUGGAUCAUGGACACAAUUACGACAGCAUACUGCCUGGCUGGCAGGCCAGUUCUGGGAUCUGUGGUGGCACAUUCAACAUGAGAUGUGGCUGCGUCCUGGGCUCUACUGAGAGGAGUGCCCCUUGCUGAUAUCUGUGCUGCGGCCAGCUGGGCUUCCUCUUGCACCUUUGCAAGAUAUUGGGUAAAUGUGGAACCUCCCUCACUGAUAACUUGGAGACAAGUGUCCACGAUAGUAGGAUUGCCAGGUCAGUUUAGUAGUGAGCUUGUGCUAGAUGUGGCUAGUUAGCGUUAGCUAGCUAGCUAACCUAGCCAAUGAGGUGUGUGUGAAAGAAAUAGUCAAAUUAUGCAAGUUACUACCCUUAAUAACUUUCCCAAAUAAUAAUGUUUGAAAGAGUGUGAGUGUGUAUGCUAGAUUAAUAGAAAUGGUAGAUACUACUGUACCCUGAUAAUUUGGUCAGAUAACCGUGUGUCUGUGUAGAGUAGGUGACAUGUCCAUGAUAGCUAUCUAAUAACUAUAGUUAUGCUAGGUAAUGUUUUGGCUUAUCAUGUUCAUGUCUAUGUAGAAGAAGACUGUAGGAGGAAGUGGAGAGGACUCAGGGACAGGUAUCAGAGAGAGAGAAGGGCAGAGAAAGAGAAGAAGAAGUCUGGGUCAGCAGCUUCAGGCCAGCAGCCUUGGCGCUUCUGCCACAUUCUUUUCUGGAUCCAUUUAUUGUGCCUCGGGCAACGAGUGGCAAUUUUACAGCCAGACCCUCUACUACGUCAUCCACAAGUGUUGUCGCCACCGGUGCAUCAAGACCCUCAAUGUCAUCUACAAGGGCGACCAUCACCUCCACCGGUGGAGUGAGACCCUCUACAACAUCAUCCAUGAGUAUGACCACUACCGGUGCAGCCAUGGAAGAUGAUGAAAUGGAGGAAGCACCUCUGGAUCUAGGACCACCUGAGAUUAUUAUGAACCUCACGGAAGUGACCACUGAGGACCUCGUUGAACAGGAUGUGGCCGUGGAGAGAAACAGAGAAACGAAGAGGAACAACGUCACACCAGGCGUCAUCGGAGGUACCAGCCCCCAGAUCCACUCAACUCAUUUCAGCAGAGGCUCCUCCAAGCCGUCGAGCGGGAUGCAGCCCAACCUGAUGAUCACAGGAAGGAGACCCUCUUUGCCAUGAGCCUGGUGCAAACACUGAAGAGGCUGCCUCAGCAAAGAAAAGCAGCAGUCAAGGUUAAAAUGUAUCAGCUGCUUUUCAAAGCCUAGUUCAAUGAGAUGGAGUCAAUUUAACAGACAAGCUCACAGGAAGGACAGGAAGAGGAGAGGAGUUGCCGGGGCCGACCAGCUCACAGGAAGGACCGGAAGAGGAGUUGCCGGGGCCGACCAGCUCACAGGAAGGACAGGAAGAGGAGAGGAGUUGCCAGGGCCGACCAGCUCACAGGAAGAGGAGAGGAGUUGUCUGGUUGUUGUUUUGACCUCCCUCAUUGUACCUUUCUUUUCACACAGGUCAGUUCUGUUUAAAUUCAGUCAAUUCAUAGUCAUUUGUUUAUAAAGUCUUAGGAUAGCAUUCAUUAUUAGUGUUACAUAGAUUUCUGAAUUGAAACUCAUACAGAGUUUUCACAGAUGCUCUUGGUCUCUUACAAGACUAAAGGUCAAUAUAUUUCUUUCAUUUAAAACCACUUGAAAACCAGGGUGUUGAAACUUUUUGUGAAGUUAUGUUCCUUCGACUGGUCCGUGACGUCCAGGGGCCAUUUGUUUGUUUAGCUGUGUUAUGGCUACAUAUUAUUCCCUUUUUCUCAGAGACAGAGACACACACACCUCUUCGUACUUCAGAUCUCCAGUGCCCUGCCCCCUCUCUCUUUAUGGCCAUGUCUGAAGUUCCCCUACUACGUCUAGGAUUUAUGAGUAGUCCCUGUAUCGGUCUGCAGUUGUGCCAAAAAUACAUGCUCUUGCUGUUCUCUUACAGAUUACAGGCUAUACAUUCAUUUAAAAACAUCUUCUUUUUUUACACGCACACACACCUCUUUCAAUAGUUUUAUUUUUAAAACAUUUUUACAAUACACAUACCUGUCAUGUUCUUUCCUGUACUUGAAUACUUAUUAAAUUGUUUUUUCUUAGUCAGUUGUUUCAGUUGUUUAUUAAUAUCUAAUUUAGAUUUAAUCUGCUUAUUUCUUCCCUACACCUUUGCAGAUCUAAGACAAGAUGAAAGUAAAAACACGUUCUCUUCCUAAUUAGUUUUUUUUCCACCUGUAUUUUGUCAGACCAGUGAACAUGGUGGUAAACUGUACUAUUUGUAUGGACCCUAGGUUACCUUUUCCCUUUGUUAUCAUACUAACUGUAUGUCGUAUAACCUUAAUUAGUGCUCCCGCUCACCUGGUACACCAUGCCAGGUGUGUAUAAUACUGACUUUAAUGGGUGAGGAAAGGGGUUAAGGUGUGGUCUUUACUCCCAAAUUUCACUUAAAUAUAGCUUCCAAAUGAAGAGAGACAAUGAUACAUAAAGUAAUCUGGGGGAAAAAUGCAAUUUUAUGGACAACGGUGGAUGGUUCUUAAAAAAACCUUUGUGUUAUGGGGCUCUUAAAAGAGCCGUUUCACUCCACGGCAUACUGCCAUGGGACUUCACCUGCUGGCGAUGAGAAGUAGGUGGUCAGCUUCUCCCUCACCUGGAGUACCUGUCUGGGGGCGUUGUUGGCCCCUGCCCUGGUGACAUCAGGAAGGUGACCAUUUGGCGUGCCCAUCGCCAUCCGGAGCAGCUCCUGGAAUGACCUCCGCAGGUAGUUGUGGAGAACACAUGUGGCCUUCACGCAGGCAUUGAUAUUUGAGGGGCUGAGACCAAGCAUUCUCCGGUACAUUCUCCACUAGGCUGCCAGAAUCCCAAAGGUGCAUUCAACAACUAACCUUGCCCUGGACAGUCGUUUGUUAAAGAUCCUUACAAGCUUUGGCAAUGGCAACAGGCGUCCAGCGUAGGGCCUCAUGAGGUUGGGUCUCAAAGGGAAGGCCUCAUCGCCGACGAAGACGUGGGGAACAGGUCCCAGGUCUUCAGCCCCAGGGAGUGAUGCAGGUGGUGGAAUAUCCAGGGUGCCAUCCUGAAGUGCCUGGCCAGAGGCAGAGUCUCGGAGGGUCCCGCCAUCACUUCCCUUGCCGUAAGCACCAACAUCGACCACACGGAAACAGUAGAUGGCAUCUACUACAGCCAAGAGUACAACUGAAUAUGUACCCUGGUAGUUGUAGAAUUAAGAACCUGAGCACGAUGGAGCCAGGAUUACUACAUGUUUCCCUUCAAUGGAGCCAAGACAGUUGGGGAAAUUCCACCUCUCCAGGAACUCUGCAGCGAUGGCCCUCCAGUCUUCCUCCUCGGGGACAGGCAUGUAUUCACCAACCAGACAGUCCCAAAUGGCUUGUGCCACAGAGGGGACAAUGCCUGCCACCGUGGACUGUCCAACUCAGAAGCUGAAUCUUAUGGUCCUGUAGGAGUCCCCUGUCGCCAAGAAUCUAAAAUAUAAUUCAAAAUAAUGAUCAAUAUUGUGUAUAACUUGAAUUCCACCCACAUAUUAUAUCUACUCAUAUAGCUACCUCAUUACUGUUUAUUAUGCUUUACUAAUCAUAUUGUGAUACUCAUCAACCAUCAUUAACAAUGCCUUGAAACAGUACAAUUCAGUCUAUGACUAUAUCAAUAAACUGUAGUCCAGGCCAACUCUACUCUUAGAAAAAAUGGUACUAUCUACUUAAAAGGGUUCUAUGGCUGUCCCCAUAGGAGAUUCCUUUUAGGUUCCAGGUAAUACCCCUUUUGAUUCCAAGUAGAACCUUAUUGGGUUCCAUGUAUUACAUAUUAUACUUGGAACCAAAAAUGGUUAUUCUAUGGGGAAAGAAGGACACUUUUGGAACCUUUUUCUCUUAAGAGUGUAUGUGAGUCCAAUAAGAAUGUAAUGAAUGACUGUAACUGUCUUGAACAACAGUGGGUCCUGGAGAAGACUAGCCUACCUUCAUCAGGGCAGAAGGCACCUUUCUUUUCAUUUGGUAACAUUGCAUAAUUAAAAAAGGGUUAUAUGAUCGAACUGGCUUCGGUCCCGACGAAAGUAACUUCGGAAUUCCUGUCCAAACAGUCGAAGCCUCUCCAACGCAAUGCUGGAAGGAAAAUGCAGCGUUCCAUUGGAAAUGAAUGUACUUCUGGUGUGUCGAAACGCAAAUACAGUCGGUGUGUUCGAAGCGUGAGCGUUGGGGCUCUUAACAACACUCCCCUAUACAGAAGACUCUUUCGUCCAAUGACUUGUGUGUAAUGGUCAUGAGCAAGGGCUCUUGUUAGAUUAGCUAGCUAGGCAUUAAUGAUGAAUAAUCAUCAUGUGGACAAUGGCAGAUUUUUGUCCUAUUCUGAGAAUGGACUGCUCUGUUACCCACACCCUACUUUUUAGCUAGUAGUGUCGGAGACACAUUAACCUAUUAUUUGUUUAAUUUGCCCCAAAGCCUUGUUGAUAUAGCAAAUUUGAGCUAUUAACCCUUGCUUGUUGUUUUAUUUUAGUUGUUACUCCUCCCUACACUACAUGGGGAAAGACAAAUAUGAACAUGAAGAUCUCAUCAAAUAUGGAUGGCCUGAAGACAUUUGAAUGCCUAAGGGACUGACAAUUGAGGAUAUUCCCAAGGAAGUCUUGAUUGACUGUGUACAGCUUGUGAAAAACAACAGCAUCCAAG